GACGAACGCUGGCGGCGUGCUUAACACAUGCAAGUCGAACGAUGAACCUUCCAUGAUCUAUUCGUAGAGAUUGGAAGCGGAUUAGUGGCGAACGGGUGAGUAACGCGUGAGCAACCUGCCUUAAACAACGGGAUAGCCUCGGGAAACCGGGAUUAAUACCGUAUGAGACCCCGCCUUCCCAUGAAGAAGAGGUUAAAGAUUUAUCGGUUUAAGAUGGGCUCGCGUCUGAUUAGCUAGUUGGUGAGAUAGAAGCCCACCAAGGCAACGAUCAGUAACCGGCUUGAGAGAGUGAACGGUCACAUCGGAACUGAGACACGGUCCAAACUCCUACGGGAGGCAGCAGUGGGGAAUAUUGCACAAUGGGGGAAACCCUGAUGCAGCGACGCCGCGUGAGCGAUGAAGGAAUUCGGUUCGUAAAGCUCUGUCCAAGGGGAAGAUAAUGACAGUACCCUUGGAGGAAGCCCCGGCUAAAUACGUGCCAGCCGCCGCGGUAAAAC
rnacentral:rRNA from 1 species